GCCCCUAUAGUUCAACGGAUAGAACACGAGCUUGCGGAGCUUGAGAUGUAGGUUCAAUUCCUGCUGGGGGCACCA
rnacentral:tRNA from 1 species